UCCUUAUCUGCAAAAACAGAAUAACAGCACUAACGAUUGCAGCCAAAGGAGAGCAAAAAUAUAGCAGAAACAUCUAGAGGAAAUUAUUUUCUAUUUUCUAUUUAUUUUAUUUCUUCUUAUUCGGUUAUGAAAGGCCGAAUAUGCUUACUGUAAAGAGAGGAGGAGAUUACGCAUGCAAAUCGGUGCUAAAAGUUUGAAUAAAAAAGACAGUUUCCAAGAGAACUUGAAAUUGUACCGUCUAGAGGAAGAGGAUCCAUGCGCCGACCCGUUUCGUGGCCCAGAUCCGUGCCUUUUUACCUUGAAUGGUCAAAUUCACGCGUGGUCCUUUUACUUUGAUGAGCCAUUCAAUCGCGCCUUAUUUAUGUUUUCUUUGAUUUUUCUAGAUUAUCCCCGAAAUUUGCGCGUUUACUCAUUCUAGUCCGCGCUUUAAACGUUUCGUUUUGGAAUAUUGGUCCAUUUUCUUUUUUAAUCCUCGGUUGCUUGCACACAUUUAAUUUUGGUCCUUGAUACUGUUUUAACAAUUUGAUUUAUUUAUAAAUUAUUCUUCUAAUUUUAUUUUUAUUCCAA